UUCAGCGCGAUCCAUUAAUUUGCAUAUCACCAUGGCACUACAGUUAUUUUUCCUGUGUGCUGUGCUACCAUGAAGCGAUAAGAACCUGCAUAAAACAGAAUCAAAAGGCCAGAAAGCACAGGACACAAUAUGAGUUUUUCCCCUCCAGUGGUGACUUAUGGGGAGUCAGCUCCUGUGGCCUUCUGGGAUACUAUAGACGGAACAUGCCUUCAGCCACUGCGCCCGGCAACUGCCUCCAGUGGCAACAACUCCCCAAAGACAAACACUUCUUUAUGGGAUCUUCACUAUGACCACACAAAGACCAGCCGCACGUGAGCAGGGCUGGAAACUUAUCACAUGUGCAAUUGUGAAAAUAAAUCACAUGUAUGAAGGAACUCGCAUAUAUAUAUAUUUUUUUCUUUUUUUUUUAUGUCUCCUCAGAGACUUAUAUCAUAACACAUACAACUAAGCACAUUCUGUUUAUUCAUACAUCAUUUCUCUCUUAUUAACCUCUGUAAUUUAGUCAUUCAUCGGUGAUACAAAAAUAAUGCUCGCUAUCCAUAACUAAUUACUUUUAUGGCAGUAAUAAAAGUUUGCUAUUCCAUCAGAUAAAAUAUAUAAAAAACAGCACAGAGUAUUAUAAUUAACAAAUUUACCUAAAUGCAUCAGUUGCUCAGCCAAAUGUUGUGUGUUUUUACUUUCUUAAAGGCAAAAGCCUCUCUGAUUUAUAUGAAAGGCCCUCGCUUAUGAGAGAAAUAAUAAAGAAAGACACUUGCAGGUAUUGGUCCAUACAUACGUUGAGCAUCUUCGGGGAUAGUGCUGGUAUGCUGGAAUCUAAAUGGCGGUGUCCCACGGGGGCUUCGGUUGACUGCUUGCUGACCUUUGCUGCCCUCGGACCACUAGCCACAGUUCAAACAAGAGGCACAAGGGACACAUCAAGGGCAACGAAGGGCUAAAGAGGAUUAUAGAUCGGGGUUUUUUUUCUCGGCGAAGGCUGCUUGACCGAAACAUUGCAAUAAAUACGGUUCGUUUUUGCAAGCUGUUAUUAUAUAUGUGGUGUGUGUGUGUAUAUAUAAAUACAUAUAUAUGGCAUGCGUGGUAUUUUUUCAUUCAUUUUCUUUAAAUAGAUCAACUGACGUAGAAAAGAAUGUGUGUUUGACUCUUAUGCUAUUUUUGUAAAGAGAGAGAGCGAGAGAGAGAGAAAUGUUAGGGUUUUAUGAUCUAUACUUUUUUUUCCAAUGCAAUAUGAAAGUCACUGAUCUUUUCAUGAUUGUACAUUGCAAUAAAAUACGAUGAGACUAUUGAAUUAUACUUCGA